CCACGAGGAGCUGCGGUACCCGGAUGUCGAUGCAGAGUAGAGACAUGCCAGAGCCAGGAACCCUAGGAGUACUGUUGACCUCUUCGCAAGUGUCAGCCGCCUCGGACACGAACACGAUGACAUUAGAACCCAGGUCCUUUUGUUGAGAUACGCGUUCAGGAAAACCCACAAGUUCUUGUUUUCUUGCUAGCUGAACUUGGUUUGUUCUCAACAUGGUGAGGUUAAUGUGCCCGGACAUGAGCUGCUGCAUUUUGAUGCGCCCGUGGUAUAUUUGAUUCAUCCUAUGGUAAAAUUCUUGAUUGGUAAAAGUAUCCUACAAUGCUGUGGGAACACUAGUUUCUGCACAUUACAUAGUUCUUUUACCUGUACAUGACAACUUCAGACAUUUUGCUUCUCUGCCUCUCUUGUCUCAGUAUGGACCGAUACUGAGUAAGCG
rnacentral:lncRNA from 1 species